rnacentral:rRNA from 1 species
UACAGAGGGUGCAAGCGUUGUUCGGAAUUAUUGGGCGUAAAGCGCGUGUAGGCGGCUUUGCAAGUCGGAUGUGAAAUCCCUCGGCUCAACUGAGGAAGUGCAUCCGAAACUGGCAGGCUUGAGUACUAAAGAGGGUCGCGGAAUUCCCGGUGUAGAGGUGAAAUUCGUAGAUAUCGGGAGGAACACCGGUGGCGAAGGCGGCGACCUGGGUAGAUACUGACGCUGAGGUGGCGAAAGCGUGGGGAGCAAACAGG